rnacentral:rRNA from 1 species
CUAUCAUGCAGUCGAGCGACAGACGAGGAGCUUGCUCCUCUGACGUUAGCGGCGGACGGGUGAGUAACACGUGGAUAACCUACCUAUAAGACUGGGAUAACUUCGGGAAACCGGAGCUAAUACCGGAUAAUAUAUUGAACCGCAUGGUUCAAUAGUGAAAGACGGUUUUGCUGUCACUUAUAGAUGGAUCCGCGCCGCAUUAGCUAGUUGGUAAGGUAACGGCUUACCAAGGCAACGAUGCGUAGCCCACCUGAGAGGGUGAUCGGCCACACUGGAACUGAGACACGGUCCAGACUCCUACGGGAGGCAGCAGUAGGGAAUCUUCCGCAAUGGACGAAAGUCUGACGGAGCAACGCCGCGUGAGUGAUGAAGGUUUUCGGAUCGUAAAACUCUGUU